AUGCCGGAGCCCAACGAGAGCGUUGUGUUUGUCCCUCACUUCCUCCAAGGCCUGGGCCUCACCCUCGACCCCUUUGUGAGGGGGCUCAUGUUCUACUAUGGGUUGGAUUUUCAUGAUCUGGCUCCAGACACUAUCCUCCAUAUCUCGUUGUUCAUUAUCGUGUGCGAGGCUUUUCUCCACGUCACCCCACACUUCGGCUUAUGGCUCAAGACCUUCAAUGUGAAGCCGAAGAUGAUCGAGAGGCGACAUGCGGAGUGUGGAGGUGCCAUAAUAAGCAGGAACAUCGAUGCCCCAUGGCCAGAGGGUUCUUUCCCGGAAGUAUCCGAUGUAUGGCAACGGAGGUGGUUUUAUGUUACGGAUCCCAGAGGAACAUAG
rnacentral:rRNA from 1 species